rnacentral:lncRNA from 1 species
UGUUUAUUACAUUCUUCAACACUUUAUUAUUGAUAUUAAACCAAUUUUUUUCCGAUUGUCUGGCUUAAUAGAAAUUGGGGAAUGAUACAAGUCUUAUUUGAUGAUGCUAAAUAAUUAAGUUAUACUGUAGCAAGUUAAAUCAAUUUUUAUUAGCUCACCUGGCCCAAAGGGCCAAGUGAGCUUUUUUCAUCACUUUGCAUCCGUCGUCGUCGUCCAGCGUCGUCUGUUAACUUUUACAAAAAUCUUCUCCUCUGAAACUACUGGACCAAAUUAAACCAAACUUACCCACAAUCAUAAUUGGGGUAUCUAGUUUAAAAAAUAUGUCAAGGUGACCCGCCAACCAACAAGAUGGCCACCAGGCUAAAAAUAGAACAUAGGGGUAAAAUAAAGUUUUUGGCUUAUAACUCAAAAACCAAAGCAUUAAGAGCAAAUCUGACAUGUGUAAAAUUGUUUAUCAGAUGAAGAUCUAUCUGCCCUGAAAUUUUCAGAUGAAUCAGACACCUGUUUUGGG